AUUGAACGCUGGCGGCAUGCCUUACACAUGCAAGUCGAACGGCAGCACGGGUGCUUGCACCUGGUGGCGAGUGGCGAACGGGUGAGUAAUACAUCGGAACAUGUCCUGUAGUGGGGGAUAGCCCGGCGAAAGCCGGAUUAAUACCGCAUACGAUCUACGGAUGAAAGCGGGGACCUUCGGGGCUCCGGCUUUUGGGGUGGCCGAUGGCUGAUUAGCUAGUUGGUGGGGUAAAGGCCUACCAAGGCGACGAUCAGUAGCUGGUCUGAGAGGACGACCAGCCACACUGGGACUGAGACACGGCCCAGACUCCUACGGGAGGCAGCAGUGGGGAAUUUUGGACAAUGGGCGAAAGCCUGAUCCAGCAAUGCCGCGUGUGUGAAGAAGGCCUUCGGGUUGUAAAGCACUUUUGUCCGGAAAGAAAUCCUUGGCCCUAAUACGGUCGGGGGAUGACGGUACCGGAAGAAUAAGCACCGGCUAACUACGUG
rnacentral:rRNA from 1 species